GAUGAACGCUGGCGGCGUGCCUAAUACAUGCAAGUCGAGCGAACGGACGAGAAGCUUUCUUCUCUGAUGUUAGCGGCGGACGGGUGAGUAACACGUGCAUAACCUACCUAUAAUACUGGGAUAACUUCGGGAAGCCGGAUCUACUACCGGAUAAUAUUUUCAACCGCAUGGUUCAAAAGUUAAUGACGGUCUUCCUGUCACUUAUAGAUGGAUCCGCGCUGCAUUAUGUGGUUGGUAAGGUAACGGCUUACCAAGGCACCGACGCAUAUCCGACCUGAUAGGGGGAUAGGCACAACUGGACCGGAGACAGGGCCCAGACCCCUAGGGGAGGAAGCAGUGGGGAAUCUUCAGAAAUGGGGGAAAGCUGGACGGGGCAAAGCGGCGUGAGUGAGGAGGCUUUCCGGUUCGUAAACCUCUGUGAUUAGGGAAGAACAUAUGUGUAAGUAACUGUGCACAUCUUGCGGGUCCCUAAGAAUAAAGCCCCGGCUACUUACGU
rnacentral:rRNA from 1 species